GGGUCCUCGUGCCCCGGGCCGCCUGGGUCGGUCUUGGCGUGCUGGGGGUGUCGGUAGCUGCUCCCUCUUGUUCUCUGGGUCCGCAUGGUUCAUGGUGGCCCCGGUGGCUCUCUGGGGGUGCCGCCCUGUAGCUCCUGCGUCCCGGGGCGAAGGGGUGCCCUGUUGGCUUGGCCCUGCCUUGCUGUGAUAGCUGUUCUGGGCUUCGGGGUCCUUCACACUUGCAUGUUUGAUCAGGUCUCGCCAGCUCCUGUCGAGUCCCAUUGACAGCGAAUGAUGGGACCCGCCAGAAUGUGCUGAGACUCUUCAGAGUCUCUAUACUAAACUCAUUCUCUUUUUCACUACUAUCCUCUUUCGGCCUAUUCUAUUCUAUACUGUCAAGACAUCCACAAUUAUGGUGUUCAAUACCGUUUAUUUAUUUAUUUAUUGAAUCUCUUUUUUUGUUGUUGUUGCUGGUUUUAUUGAUGGGCAGUUAGUAGUUGGGAAUAACACACCACCUCACACUCUUUAAUUGUAAUAGCACCACCUGUUAGUUUCUAUCCCUGUUCGUCCUGUUUCGUCCUGUCUAGUCUUUGUUUCCCCUGCACAACACUGAGGUGUAGUACUGCCCUCCCUGGCUCAUAAUAGGGAAUUCUAAUAAAGAAUGUCUGCUUAGCUUUCAGGGAGGGCUGGUGACAGUCACACACAUGCACUAAAUAUUAAAAUAUUUGGCUGCAAGACUAAAAUAUGCAUCAAUCUCAUAUAAUGUUGACACCCCCUUUGUGGAGUUAAACAAUGAGAAUAAAUGCAGACAAAAAAAGAAAAAAAGACUAGAUUUGCAUUAGCCCUGCCCACCGACUUUGACAGGCAAGGUGGACAGAUAAAAUAAAUUCAUGAUCCACUGCAACACAAGGACUAUGGAAAUAAUUAGUGAAAUAAUAAUAUAUGUUUUUUACCUAAAAUGAAUUGGUAUUUUGAUGAAUUAAUGACACAUUUAAUAACACAUUUAUGUAUUUAAUUCCAAUUUUAAUUAAUUAAUUACAUAUUUUAUUAAUUAUUUAAUGAUGUAUUUAUUCAUUUAUUUAUUUAAUUUUGGCACUUUUAGUCCUCCAUAAGUUUCCACCCUCAGCAGGACAAUGCACCCCGACACAUCACAAAAACUGUUCAGGAGUGGCCCGGGGAACACGACAGAGCUAAGGUGUUCACCCGGGUUCCACUCUCCCCAGAUCCAAAUCUUAUUGAGCAUCUGUGUGAUGUACCAGGAUAAACCUGAUCCAGGUAGGUCCCACUCUGCAACCCACAGGACCCAUAGAAUUCACUGCCACCAUCCCGGUGCCACAAGACAUCCCCAGAGACCCUGUGUCCAUGCCCCACUGAGUCAGAGGAGUUUUAGCAAAAUAACGGGGACCAACACAAUAUUAGGCACGUGGUCAUAACGUUAUACCUCAUCGGUGAACAUUUGCAAGGCUGCCAGUAGGGGUCGUUGUUGCAUUAUUCACAUUUACACUCUCAAACACUGCACAUCUUUGCACAUAAAAGGUUUUAUGAAGUACAGAUUACAUUUGCAUCUCAUUUGGCCCCUCAAAUCAGAAUUUGCAAUGUAAUGAUCUUGCACUUAGGCAAGAUCAUUACAUUGCAAAUCAACAGAGAACAUGUGAAUAAAUGUGAAGUCAACUGAAAGAAGGUUCAUGACAAGAGUGACUUCUAGGCUUUAUUCAGGCAGGUGAUCAGAAUAUAUGUGACAGAGAACUUCUACACUGGAGAAUUCCAUCAUCUCCAUGGUGCACCACAGUAACAUACAUGUGGCAUUUUUUCAUGCACCCAGGGAGCUUAUAUAAAGGCUGAAACAUUCUGAAAUGUCAGAAAACAACUUUUUCACCUGCUCUUGGACUCAGAUCGACCUGUUCGAAGAUCAGCUACGGAAGGAAAAAACUUGAAGACAAAACUUUGGGAAAGCAAAGACCUGAAGAGGAAACGUUUGGAGAACGAAGACCUGAGUAGGAAACUUUGGAGAACAAAGAUCUGAAGAGGAAGCUUUGGAGAAGGAAGACCUGAAGAGGAAACUUUGGAGAACAAAGACCUGAAGAGGAAACCUUCGGCCAAGGAACACCUGAAGAAGAAGACAUUUGUAAACCGACUCUUGUUGGAUCCUUGAAUCAAGGCUACUUGAAGACCUGGAAAUGGACUUCAGACUCGUGGACAUCGAGGGACCUGUGGGAGCUGUCCCGGAGGUGCACCGUGACGCUGCUGGUAAGAUUAUUGUUAUUAUUAGAUGCUUAAUAAAGUAGCUUUUUAUGAAUAGAAUUAGGUUGUUUGUCCCUCUGAAAUCUUUAAUACGAUGUCAGUGUAGAAAUCAGUGUGAGAGAUUGAGUGAUUAACAGUUAUUGAAUGAUUUUUUUUCCAUGUAAAAUGAUUAUUUAAUGGUAAAAAUGUAUUCAUUUUUUUCCGGAGAGGGUUAAUCUAAUUUAUUAAUCGUUGGUGUCAUGAUUCAGAAACUCUGUUAUAUUGGUUUAAGAGCAUCACAGCUGCUAAAACUUCACAUGAAUAUUUUGUAAAAGAAAAAAAAAAACAUGUCAACUUGGCCAAAAUACGAUAAAAUGCCAAAAUGUGUUUUUGCGGUGACCAUGGAGAUGAUGGAGUGUUCAGAACGCAGCAGGAGUCUCCACUGUGGGACUCUGAGUCGCUUUAAAUCAACUCAUUUUCACAUGUAGCUCAACCUGAACUAUGUGUCUGUUUAAAUACCUUAAAAGUGAACUGUAUAAACUAUGUUUAUUCAUCACAUGGUUUGCAUUUGUUGACAAAAAAAACAAAGAUUAUCUUACGCAUUUAUAAGAGACUGCUGAUGCGCCACAGUCUCCAUUCAGUGACCGUGAUUUAUACUUAUACCUGUGGAGAAUAAGUUGUUCUAAUGUGCUAGUUUUGUACUUUUUUGUGCUGUUUUAUUUGUAAUGGAUCUCUGUUGCUGGUUGGUUUAUUUGGCCAAUCAGAAUUCAAAUACAAGUAGAAAGAGUCGUGCGUAAAUGCGCGAAGAGGAGCCAUAAGUGGAUCUCAGGACUUGUAGUUUGCUGUUGUAGUUUCGAGGUUGGUUGAAAACUGUCAGCACGAGAGUUAAGAAAUGACAAAGUGAAUUACUUUGGUUUCUACUGCUGACGUGACUAAUUAUCUGAUGUACACAGACUAAUAAGGAUGCAGUUAUCAUGCUGAGUGAGGACUCUUAAAAACAUUCCAGCAGAACAGACGUUGCUGUUUUUGAGGAGAAAAAUUCACUCACAGGAAAACAUUCAGUUUAUUUCGGAUUUCAUGAAUGUGUGAUAAUGAACUGAACCAGCUGCAGUGAUAAUAAUUAGUAACACAAUGUGACUUCAUUGUUGCCUGUUGCCAUGUUUUGGUUGUAACAGUAGUGAUUAGAGAGGCAAAGUACUGCCUUGUGUUGUGUUGUGUUAUUCUGUGACAUGUUCUGUGUUGUGUUGUAUUGUAUUGUAUCAUCGUGCUAUAGUGUGGUUUGUUGUGCAGUGUUGUGUUGUGUUCUGUGUUUUGUUUUGCUCUAUUGCACUGUACUAUGUUGUGCUAUCUGUCCUGUGUUAUUCAGAAUUGUGUUGUACUGCAUAGUCGUAUUGUACUAUGUUGUUUUGUAGUGUGUUGUGCUGUCCUGCUUUGUGUUGUACUGUGUUGGGUUGCGUUGCAUUGUGCUGUGUUGUAUUAUACUGCUUUCAGUUGUAUAUCAUUGUCUUGGGGAGUUUGUUGUGUUGCCCCAUGUUGUACUUUGUUGUUUUGUUGUAUGUUGUGUAGUAUUUUGUUGUUUUGUGUUGCACUGCAUUGUGGUGAGUUGUGUUGUACUUUAUUCUGCUGUGUUGUCUUGUACUGGGGUGUGUUGUGUUUACUUUGUUGUGUUGAAGUGUGUGUUUACCAUCCCCAUAACUGAUUUAAUGAGCGAUUUCCAGUUCCGCUGUAGUGGUUGUGUGAAUUUAGACUUGCAUUGUUUAAUCUCUGAGACAAACAAAUGUAGCUGAGUUUGUGGUGCUGUACUAUUAUGUUGUGCUGUGCUGUGUUUUGUUGCGCUGUUUUGUGUUGUGUUUUUCUGUUGUAAAGGGCUAUGUUGUUCUGUAUAGUGCUGUGUUGUGUUGCAUCCAUGAAACUUGGACAUCAGAGUUUCAGUGAAUGAACUUGGCCUGUCAGAUGUGUGAUGACCAAUGAGAGUCACUGCUCGUAUGUCAUCCUUGUAUCAUGUGACUGUGACCUCAGCAGACAGAGUUUUUAAUCUGCUCUGGUUUUAAACGUCAUCACUGGCUGCAGUAGUUUCUCUGUGACAGAGUUUGGAGCAAACGACUCACAUUUUCCACUUAAGUUUGUCACCACAGAAACUGAACUGUCAAAGCAACUUCACAGAUCUGGAGUCAACAUGAAGAUAAGAAAGCCUCAGUGUUCCUACUUUAUCUCUUGUUAGUGCUGGAAAUAGUUUCUGUACAUCAUACAUGCAUUUGUAAUGAAUAAAUCACUGUGGGUACUGUGAACAUACUCAUCAUUUGAAUUGUCAAAACUUAUCAAUGACCAAAGUAGAGUAAAUAAUUGUUUUUCAUAAAGUCUCACUUGAAAGAACAGACUGCAGAAUCAAUGAGAAUGUGUUUGUGGCUUUGACAAGUUGCUGGAUGGUCAUAAUGAAGCGUUUGUAACUUCAGCUGUGACUGUGAUUUGGUCCUGAUAUCUAACCAUGUUAGAAGUACUAACAUGACUUUAUUUCUUCUCAGGGUUUGUGGACUACGUCGUGGAGUGUCCCGCCGACGGCCUCCCGGAGCUCAUCUGGAUCAUUGAAGAUGACGACCGCGUCGUGUUCUUCAAUGAUUCGGAUGAGACUUGGAAGAGGACCUGGCCGACUGGAGCACCAGCGAAGACUCCGGCUACAGCAGCCUGGACGAGGAUGAAGAAGACCUGGAGGACGGUGAAGAAGAGGACAUCCGACCUCGCUCCCCCCUGGUCCAGCGGCUCCCCCCUCCUGCUGGUGCUCCAGUCAUUGCAAGGCCCUUGCUCUCCACAUCAUCUCCUUCCCAAAGAGGCCCCGGGAGGAGAGCGAUGUGGAGGCACAGGUAGGUACGAAGAGGCAGCGGACCAGUGAAGAGGACAACCAGCAGCCAGGACCAUCUACAUCCGGUGCCACAAACCACAGCACGUCUGGUCCCUCCAUGUCAGGUCUGAGCUUCUCUGCGACCAGCGGAAACUUGUUCAGGCCUUUUUGGAGUCCUGAUGAUAGUGACUCCGAUUAGUCCUGAAACUGGUGGAAGUUCUGAGCAGAGAAGUUCCAGCUGACCGGCAGCUCCCACUUCUUACUGCAGGGAUUGAAGACAUCAAGAUCCCUGCAACUAAUAGUAAAAACCCUCCUUCACAUGUCUUAGCGUCAUCAGAUAAUGUGGGAGGAACAGUAGGUAUGAGCACCUGACAAAUACAGGUGUGUUUGUUCUUUUUUAUCAGAGGUAAGUAUCAUUACAAUUGCACAUAUUUUCAUUUUCAAGUAUUAUCCAUGUUACUAACACUAUUUCUUUAAGGUCACUGCUUUCAUCAAAUUAAGGUAAAUUAUUACUUCAAAUGAAUCACUUAAGGAUUUAAUAUCUGUUCUUGAUCAUUUAUAAUUGAAGCAUUUUACUGACAUUUGCACUUUGUUUUUUUUCAUCAUCCAUCAUCCAGGAGAACUCUGAACAGAAAUUUGGUCCUCAAAGUGUUUGUUUGAAGGGUCUGAAUACUUUCCAAAGUGAUUCCAUAAUUGUGUUGUUCAUGUUUGUCACUGUUUGAUGACACAGUUCAGGAUCCCCCACCCUAUGAGGAUCAUACAACUUUGAGAAAACAGUUAAAAGACAUGACUUUGGAAGACCCCCCAGCAACUAAUACACGUAAAGCAAAGACAAAAGGUUUAGAUCUGUCUACACACCAUGCAGAAACCUAUCCAAUGAUAAUUGUCCCAAAUCCAUUAGCUGGACAGGGAGGAAAUGGCCCUACAAUGGAGGUUUAUAGAUCAAUGUAUAUAGGAGAUUUUGAAGCGCUUAGCGCAGCUCUCCCUGAUCCAAGAAAAGAUAUUGAGGGCUGGAUUACUGAGAUGGAGGGCCUGCGUGCCUCCACCACAUUGACUCCCACAGAGAUUCUUAGAAUCUGCCGCCGUGCUUUCGGUGGAGAAUUUCAUCGUGUGCAGGGAACACUGACUGACAGACAAGAUGACGGGACUGUAAUACCAGCAGAAACAGUGGACUUCAGAGCACAGUGGGCUGCCUUCCUCACACAUUGUAGGCAGACCUUUACCCCUAGUCAGGAUUGGGGAACUAUCACUGACUGUAAAAUGAAGUCAGAUGAAUCGUGUGAAGAUUGGUUACAUAGAUUCAACCAGUCUUUAACGCACAACAGCAGGCGAGCUAGAGAUAAUCCUGCUAGACUACAGCUGUACAAAAAUGCCAUAAUGAACACAGUACACCCCAAGGUAAAACAGAUCAUUGAGACCACAUGCAUUGACCUUCCCACAUGUGACGAGGAAAGUUUCUGUAACCACUUGCGUCAUGCAAUCCGUGUUCAUGGUCAACAGCAGAAGGCAAAGGAAGAAAAGAUUAAACAACAGCCUGUUCAAGUUUUCUUAGGCUCAGAGGAAAUCUUUUACUGUGGUCCAGAGCGGAGAGGACCCUACCACAGGAACAGAGGUAGAGGAAGAGGUAGGGGUGGAUCAUAUAGAUGGAGUCAGGCAGGUGACAACUACAGGCAACAGAAUGUGAGACAGGAAGAGGUGUGUUAUGUGUGUAGGCAGCCAGGACAUUUUGCUAGAGACUGCCCACAAACAAGAGGGUGACAGAGAUAUGGAGAAGACCAUGAGCCACGAACCCAUCGUGGGCACGGUGGUUGUAAUUACAGCCCAAACCGUCAAACACCCGCAUGACCAGCCGACGGUGACAUAUCUCCAACUGAUCAGGAAAAGAGGACCAGCCAAGACCACAACUAAAACCUGGGGACUGGAUUUUUGUUAAGAAUAUCCAGAGACGUGUGUGGAGGGAGAAACGCUGGCUUGGACCAUACCAGGUAAUCAUAUCUACUCCCACGGCAGUAAAGAUU